rnacentral:piRNA from 1 species
CAUCCUGAGCCUUUGUGGACACUUUCGC